CGGGAAGAGCUCAAAUUUAAAAUCUGGCGGUGUAUUCCGUCCGAGUUGUAGUCUAGAGAAGCAUCAUCCGUGCUGGACCAUGUACAAGUCUCUUGGAACAGAGCGUCAUAGAGGGUGAGAAUCCCGUCCUUGACAUGGACUCCCAGUACUUUGUGUUGUGCUCUCAAC
rnacentral:rRNA from 1 species